rnacentral:rRNA from 1 species
GAUGAACGCUAGCUACAGGCUUAACACAUGCAAGUCGAGGGGCAGCAUGAAAGGAACUUCGGUUCUUUUUGAUGGCGACCGGCGCACGGGUGCGUAACGCGUAUCGAACCUGCCUCAUACUCGGGGAUAGCCUUGCGAAAGUAAGAUUAAUACCCGGCGGUCUCGGAUGGCCGCAUGACUGUCCGAGUGAAGAUUUAUCGGUAUGAGAUGGCGAUGCGUCCCAUUAGCUUGUUGGUGGGGUAACGGCUCACCAAGGCAUCGAUGGGUAGGGGUUCUGAGAGGAAGGUCCCCCACAUUGGAACUGAGACACGGUCCAAACUCCUACGGGAGGCAGCAGUGAGGAAUAUUGGUCAAUGGACGAAAGUCUGAACCAGCCAAGUAGCGUGCAGGAUGACGGCCCUCUGGGUUGUAAACUGCUUUUAGUUGGGAAUAAAAAGAGGGACGUGUCCCUUAUUGUAUGUACCAUCAGAAAAAGGACCGGCUAAUUCCGUGCCAGCAGCCGCGGUAAUACGGAAGGUCCAGGCGUUAUCCGGAUUUAUUGGGUUUAAAGGGAGCGCAGGCGGCGGCGUAAGUCAGUUGUGAAAUCGUGCGGCUUAACCGUGCAAUUGCAGUUGAUACUGCGUCGCUUGAGUGCACACAGGGAUGUUGGAAUUCAUGGUGUAGCGGUGAAAUGCUUAGAUAUCAUGAAGAACUCCGAUCGCGAAGGCAUAUGUCCGGAGUGCAACUGACGCUGAGGCUCGAAAGUGUGNGUAUCAAACAGG